CAAGGCCCCGUGCCAUCUUGGCUUGGCUCGCGGGCACCAAGCAAGGCCCCGUGGCACCUUGGCUUGGCUCGCGGGCGGGCACCAUGCAAGGCCUUGUGCCACCUUGGCUUGGCUCGCGGGCACCAAGCAAGGCCCCAUGGCACGCGUCGUGUGUCUUGGCUUGGCUCACGGGCGGGCACCAAGCAAGGCCCCGUGCCACCUUGGCUUGGCUCGCAGGCACCAAGCAAGGCCCCGUCGCACGUGUCGCGUGUCUUGGCUUGGCUCGCGGGUGGGCACCAUGCAAGGCCUCGUGCCACCUUGGCUUGGCUCGCGGGCACCAAGCAAGGCCCCGUGGCACCUUGGCUUGGCUCGUGGGCGGGCACCAUGCAAGGCCCCGUGCCACCUUGGCUUGGCUCGCGGGAGGGCACCAUGCAAGGCCCCGUGCCAUCUUGGCUUGGCUCGCGGGCACCAAGCAAGGCCCCGUGGCACCUUGGCUUGGCUCGCGGGCGGGCACCAUGCAAGGCCUCGUGCCACCUUGGCUUGCCUCACGGGCACCAAGCAAGGCCCCGUGGCACGCGUCGCGUGUCUUGGCUUGGCUCACGGGCGGGCACCAAGCAAGGCCCCGUGCCACCUUGGCUUGGCUCGCGGGC
rnacentral:lncRNA from 1 species